GUGUUGUAUGAAAGGAGAGGUUAGCACUCCCCUUGACAAGGAUGGAAGAGGCCCUACAACACACAUAUAAUUAAGGCAUUGCCACCUACUUCAUGGCAUCUAACUAUCGUUUUUU
ensembl:snRNA